UGAACACUUGCCAUCAUCCAAAUUCCUUCU
rnacentral:piRNA from 1 species